rnacentral:misc_RNA from 1 species
CGCUGCCAUUGCCCAUGGGCAAUAAAAUCAUAUGAGAAAACUCUGCAAUGAUACAGAAAACCUCACAUAUAACUGAGAGCCCUGUCUUUGCCCCACUGGCUUCAACUCCUUACUUCACAACUAAUCACAAGCAUAGUGAUCAUCCUUCAGCUAGUACAGCUGAUAAUUUGAAAUAAAUAAUAUACAAUAGUUGUGCAUCUAUUCCUAUUUGUGUUUAAUACAAUCGCAACAAAAAAUUUGUAUAUCAGAAACUCUAUCACUUCCAAUCUGU